rnacentral:rRNA from 1 species
GUGACAUACCACUUGUUGCCUCGGCGGAUCAGCCCGCUCCCGGUAAAACGGGACGGCCCGCCAGAGGACCCCUAAACUCUGUUUCUAUAUGUAACUUCUGAGUAAAACCAUAAAUAAAUCAAAACUUUCAACAACGGAUCUCUUGGUUCUGGCAUCGAUGAAGAACGCAGCAAAAUGCGAUAAGUAAUGUGAAUUGCAGAAUUCAGUGAAUCAUCGAAUCUUUGAACGCACAUUGCGCCUGCCAGUAUUCUGGCGGGCAUGCCUGUUCGAGCGUCAUUUCAACCCUCAAGCACAGCUUGGUGUUGGGACUCGCGUUAAUUCGCGUUCCCCAAAUUGAUUGGCGGUCACGUCGAGCUUCCAUAGCGUAGUAGUAAAACCCUCGUUACUGGUAAUCGUCGCGGCCACGCCGUUAAACCCUAACUUCUGAAUGUUGACCUCGGAUCAGGUAGGAAUACCCGCUGAACUUAAGCAUAUCAAUA